UACGUAGGGUGCAAGCGUUAAUCGGAAUUACUGGGCGUAAAGCGUGCGCAGGCGGUUCGGAAAGAAAGAUGUGAAAUCCCAGGGCUUAACCUUGGAACUGCAUUUUUAACUGCCGGGCUAGAGUAUGUCAGAGGGGGGUAGAAUUCCACGUGUAGCAGUGAAAUGCGUAGAGAUGUGGAGGAAUACCGAUGGCGAAGGCAGCCCCCUGGGCUAACACUGACGCUCAGGCACGAAAGCGUGGGGAGCAAACAGG
rnacentral:rRNA from 1 species